GGGUGGUGGGGUUAUGGAAAUUGGGGAGAGUAUGUGCUAUGGUGAGUGCUGUGAAUUGUGUUAGACUGAUGACUCACAUACCUGUACCCCUGAAACAAAUAACACAUUAUGUUAA